rnacentral:rRNA from 1 species
GACGAACGCUGGCGGCGUGCUUAACACAUGCAAGUCGAACGGAAAGGCCCUGCUUUUGUGGGGUGCUCGAGUGGCGAACGGGUGAGUAACACGUGAGUAACCUGCCCUUGACUUUGGGAUAACUUCAGGAAACUGGGGCUAAUACCGGAUAGGAGCUCCUGCUGCAUGGUGGGGGUUGGAAAGUUUCGGCGGUUGGGGAUGGACUCGCGGCUUAUCAGCUUGUUGGUGGGGUAGUGGCUUACCAAGGCUUUGACGGGUAGCCGGCCUGAGAGGGUGACCGGCCCCAUGGGGCUGGGGAUAGGCCCCAAACCCCGAGGGGGGGCAGAGGGGGGGAAAUUGGCCAAAGGGGGGAAGGCGGAGGGAGGAAACGCCGGGGGGGGGAAGAGGGCUUUGGGGUUGAAACCCCUUUCCGCCUGGAACGAGGGGUGGGGGCGGGAAAUGGGAAAAGAAGCACCGGCAAACACCGG